rnacentral:rRNA from 1 species
UACGGAGGGGGCUAGCGUUGUUCGGAAUUACUGGGCGUAAAGCGCACGUAGGCGGUUUGUCGCGUCUGCCGUGAAAGUCCGGGGCUCAACUCCGGAUCUGCGGUGGGUACGGGCAGACUAGAGUGAUGUAGGGGAGACUGGAAUUCCUGGUGUAGCGGUGAAAUGCGCAGAUAUCAGGAGGAACACCGGUGGCGAAGGCGGGUCUCUGGGCCGUAACUGACGCUGAGGAGCGAAAAGCGUGGGGGAGCGAACAGG